rnacentral:rRNA from 1 species
AGAUUGAACGCUGGCGGCAUGCCUAACACAUGCAAGUCGAACGGCAGCACAGUGGUAGCAAUACCAUGGGUGGCGAGUGGCGGACGGGUGAGUAAUGCAUCGGGACCUACCUGAACGUGGGGGAUAACGUAGGGAAACUUACGCUAAUACCGCAUACGUCCUACGGGAGAAAGCGGGGGAUCUUCGGACCUCGCGCGGUCAGACGGACCGAUGUUCGAUUAGCUAGUUGGUAAGGUAAUGGCUUACCAAGGCGACGAUCGAUAGCUGGUCUGAGAGGAUGAUCAGCCACACUGGAACUGAGACACGGUCCAGACUCCUACGGGAGGCAGCAGUGGGGAAUAUUGGACAAUGGGCGAAAGCCUGACGCAGCGACGCCGCGUGGGGGAUGAAGGCCUUCGGGUUGUAACCCUUUCAGCAGGGACGAAGCGAAAGUGACGGUACCUGCAGAAGAAGCGCCGGCUAACUACGUGCCAGCAGCCGC